AGACCGAUAGCGAACAAGUAGAGUGAUCGAAAGAUGAAAAGCACUUUGAAAAGAGAGUUAAACAGCACGUGAAAUUGUUGAAAGGGAAGCGCUUGCAACCAGACUCGGCCUCGGGGUUCAGCCAGCAUUCGUGCUGGUGUACUUCCCCGGGGCCGGGCCAGCGUCGGUUUGGGCGGCCGGUCAAAGGCCCCAGGAAUGUAUCGUCCUCCGGGACGUCUUAUAGCCUGGGGUGCAAUGCGGCCAGCCUGGACCGAGGAACGCGCUUCGGCACGGACGCUGGCGUAAUGGUCGCAAACGACCCGUCUUGAAACACGGACCAAG
rnacentral:rRNA from 1 species